rnacentral:rRNA from 1 species
CUACGGGUCGCUCCAGUGAGGAAUAUUGCACAAUGGGGGGAACCCUGAUGCAGCAACGCCGCGUGGAGGAUGACGCAUUUCGGUGUGUAAACUCCUUUUAUAUGUCAAGAAAAUGACGGUAGCAUAUGAAUAAGCACCGGUUAACUCCGUGCCAGCAGCCGCGGUAAUACGGAGGGUGCAAGCGUUACUCGGAAUCACUGGGCGUAAAGGACGCGUAGGCGGGUUGGAAAGUCAGGUGUGAAAUCCUACAGCUUAACUGUAGAACUGCACUUGAAACUUCUAAUCUAGAGUAUGGGAGGGGGAGAUGGAAUGAGUGGUGUAGGGGUAAAAUCCGUAGAUAUCACUAGGAAUACCUAAAGCGAAGGCGAUCUCCUGGAACAUUACUGACGCUAAGGCGUGAAAGCGUGGGGAGCAAACAGGAUUAGAUACCCCCGUAGUC